rnacentral:lncRNA from 1 species
UUCUCACAUCCGAGGAAUUCCAAAUAUUUGCACUGCGUUUUUAGAUUCAUUGAAGAAUGGAGUUUAACCAUAGAAUAUGGAAUUUAUAAUUUGGAUUUUUUUUUUAAAGAAUAUAGUGGGAACUAAACAUCCAAAAAUAUGAGCUACUUUUCUUUCCCUCAAAGGAGGUACAGGGUGAAUGUGGAGUGGCAGGGAGUGAACCUACAACCUUCUCUUGCAGUUGGAAGUGGAUUAGAAUCUGGAAUAACGUGCUCCCUCUUCCUAGUGUACUGGAAAGACCCACAGCGCCAGAAGACUCGUCAUUUGCUAAUUGUACGUCACGGUGAUGGAUUUAGAGAGAAUGGACCCUCUGACCCCAAGAAUAACUUGCAUAUGGAAAGGACUGUGUUUAUCUGUGUCUCCAUGAGACUAAAUGAGCCUGAAGGAGAAAUCAUGCUCGGACCUAGGAGAUACAGCGCAAGUUCAAGUUGACAGUUCAUGUGUUGGUGUUGAUUUGUAAAAAUGGAGCAGACUCGUUCCCUCUGACACUUUGCUAAUGUACUUUUGAGGACACACGUAAAUUUGUAGAGUGCUUAGAGCUGUUCAGAGGUGAGACAGGCCCUGCGUCACGGCUCUGUGCUGAGGCCUCCUGAAGACCGGAUUUGGAACAGCUGUCCUUCCUGUUUGUUGUGACGCCAACUGCCCGCUUGCUCUUCUGUAAUUCUUUCUCUGUGCAGAUAGCAUGGAAAGCAGACUGGAAGGAUGAACAGAGAUAAAUUCAGGAUUUGUACCUAUGAGAUGCCAGAGAAGCAGUAGAGUGUGGUCAGUAAAGGCAUAGACAUAGGUCCAGUGCACUCUGUUUAAACUCCGGCUCUGACACUUACUAACUGUGUGACUUCAGAGAGUUACUUAACCUCUCUGUUCUUCAGUUUGCUCAUCUGUAACAUGAGGUAAAUGACACCAUUGACCUUAUGGGGUUGUCGUAAUGAUUACCUAAGCUUAAAUCCAGGUGGAGGGGACGGCGCUGUGACACAGUUGGUAAAGCCACCGCCUGCAGUGCCAGCAUCCCAUAUGGGCAAUGGUUCCAGUCCUGGCUGUUCCACUUCCAACCCACCUCUCUGCUACGGCCUGGGAAAGCUGUAGAAGAUGGCCCAAGUCCUUGGGCCCUGCACCCUCAUGGGUGACCUGAAUGAAAGCUCCUGGCUGCUGGCUUUAGAUCAGAGCAGCUCCGGCCUUUGCAGCCAUCUGGGGAAUGAACCAGCAGAUGGAAAACCUCUCUCUCUCUG